rnacentral:rRNA from 1 species
AGCGAACGCUGGCGGCGGGCCUAACACAUGCAAGUCGAACGAACUCUUCGGAGUUAGUGGCGGACGGGUGAGUAACACGUGGGAACGUGCCUUUUGGUUCGGAAUAACUCAGGGAAACUUGUGCUAAUACCGAAUGUGCCCUUCGGGGGAAAGAUUUAUCGCCAUUAGAGCGGCCCGCGUCUGAUUAGCUAGUUGGUGAGGUAACGGCUCACCAAGGCGACGAUCAGUAGCUGGUCUGAGAGGAUGACCAGCCACACUGGGACUGAGACACGGCCCAGACUCCUACGGGAGGCAGCAGUGGGGAAUCUUGCGCAAUGGGCGAAAGCCUGACGCAGCCAUGCCGCGUGAAUGAUGAAGGUCUUAGGAUUGUAAAAUUCUUUCACCGGGGACGAUAAUGACGGUACCCGGAGAAGAAGCCCCGGCUAACUUCGUG